UUACAGUUCACUAAAUGUUAAAUGUUCAUUAGAAUUUAAAGUUUACUGAUCUUUGAGAAUGUGUUCUGCAAUAUUUUGCCAUUACCACUAUAUUACUUGAACAUUGUCUCAAAACAACAACAUUAUUAUCAUUUAUC